UACGUAGGGUGCAAGCGUUGUCCGGAAUUAUUGGGCGUAAAGAGCUCGUAGGCGGUUUGUCGCGUCUGCUGUGAAAACCCGAGGCUCAACCUCGGGCCUGCAGUGGGUACGGGCAGACUAGAGUGUGGUAGGGGAGACUGGAAUUCCUGGUGUAGCGGUGAAAUGCGCAGAUAUCAGGAGGAACACCGGUGGGCGAAGGCGGGUCUCUGGGC
rnacentral:rRNA from 1 species